rnacentral:misc_RNA from 1 species
GAUGAAGAACGUAGCGAAAUGCGAUACGUAAUGUGAAUUGCAGAAUUCAGGGAAUCAUCGAAUCUUUGAACGCAUAUUGCGCUCUCUGGUAUUCCGGAGAGCAUGCUUGUUUGAGUAUCAGUAAACACCUCAACUUCCAUAUCUUUUUUGAAAUGGGAGUUGGACUUGAGUGAUCCCAACGCUUUUCCUCACCGAAAAGUGGCGGGUUACUUGAAAUGCAGGUGCAGCUGGACUUUUCUCUGAGCUAUAAGCAUAUCUAUUUAGUCUGCCUAAAAAACAGAUUAUUACCUUUGCUGCAGCUAACAUAAAGGAGAUUAGUUCUUGUGCUGACUGAUGCAGGAUUCACAAAGACAGGCUUCGGCCGACUUUGUAAACUCGAUCUCAAAUCAAGUAAGACUACCCGCUGAACUUAAGCAUAUCAAUAAGCGGAGGA